rnacentral:rRNA from 1 species
GAAUAUUGCACAAUGGGCGCAAGCCUGAUGCAGCAACGCCGCGUGAGGGAUGACGGCCUUCGGGUUGUAAACCUCUUUUAGUAGGGAAGAAGCGUAAGUGACGGUACCUGCAGAAAACGCACCGGCUAACUACGUGCCAGCAGCCGCGGUAAUCCGUAGGGUGCAAGCGUUGUCCGGAAUUAGUGGGCGUAAAGAGCUCGUAGGCGGCUUGUCGCGUCUGCUGUGAAAACCCGAGGCUCAACCUCGGGCCUGCAGUGGGUACGGGCAAGCGAGAGUGCGGUAGGGGAGAUUGGAAUUCCUGGUGUAGCGGUGGAGUGCGCAGAUAUCAGGAGGAACACCGAUGGCGAAGGCAGAUCUCUGGGCCGUAACUGACGCUGAGGAGCGAAAGCAUGGGGAGCGAACAG